rnacentral:rRNA from 1 species
UACGGAGGGGGCCAGCGUUGUUCGGAAUCAUUGGGCGUAAAGGGCGCGUAGGCGGCCACGCAAGUCGGAUGUGAAAUCCCUCGGCUCAACCGAGGAACUGCAUCCGAAACUGCGAGGCUCGAGUCCUGGAGAGGGUAGUGGAAUUCCUAGUGUAGAGGUGAAAUUCGUAGAUAUUAGGAAGAACACCGGUGGCGAAGGCGGCCCACUGGAUCGGUACUGACGCUGAGGUGCGAAAGCGUGGGGAGCAAACAGG